rnacentral:rRNA from 1 species
GACGAACGCUGGCGGCGUGCUUAACACAUGCAAGUCGAACGAUGAAGCUGGAGCUUGCUCCGGUGGAUUAGUGGCGAACGGGUGAGUAACACGUGAGCAAUCUGCCCUUGACUCUGGGAUAACUGCGGGAAACUGUAGCUAAUACCGGAUACGAGGCUCGAAGGCAUCUUCGGGUCUGGAAAGAAUUUCGGUCAAGGAUGAGCUCGCGGCCUAUCAGCUUGCUGGUGAGGUAAUGGCUCACCAAGGCGACGACGGGUAGCCGGCCUGAGAGGGUGACCGGCCACACUGGGACUGAGACACGGCCCAGACUCCUACGGGAGGCAGCAGUGGGGAAUAUUGCACAAUGGGCGAAAGCCUGAUGCAGCAACGCCGCGUGAGGGAUGAAGGCCUUCGGGUUGUAAACCUCUUUUAGCAGGGAAGAAGCGAAAGUGACGGUACCUGCAGAAAAAGCACCGGCUAACUACGUGCCAGCAGCCGCGGUAA